UACGUAGGGUGCGAGCGUUAAUCGGAAUUACUGGGCGUAAAGGGUGCGCAGGCGGUUCUGUAAGACCGGUGUGAAAUCCCCGGGCUCAACCUAGGAAUUGCGCUUGUGACUGGCGGGCUCGAGUACGGUAGAGGGGGGUGGAAUUCCUGGUGUAGCAGUGAAAUGCGUAGAGAUCAGGAGGAACACCGAUGGCGAAGGCAGCCCCCUGGGCCUGUACUGACGCUCAUGCACGAAAGCGUGGGGAGCAAACAGG
rnacentral:rRNA from 1 species